rnacentral:rRNA from 1 species
UUGAACGCUGGCGGCAUGCUUUACACAUGCAAGUCGAACGGUAACAGGUCUUCGGAUGCUGACGAGUGGCGAACGGGUGAGUAAUGCAUCGGAACGUGCCCAGUCGUGGGGGAUAACGCAGCGAAAGCUGUGCUAAUACCGCAUACGAUCUAUGGAUGAAAGCGGGGGAUCGCAAGACCUCGCGCGAUUGGAGCGGCCGAUGUCAGAUUAGCUAGUUGGUGGGGUAAAGGCCCACCAAGGCGACGAUCUGUAGCUGGUCUGAGAGGACGACCAGCCACACUGGGACUGAGACACGGCCCAGACUCCUACGGGAGGCAGCAGUGGGGAAUUUUGGACAAUGGGCGCAAGCCUGAUCCAGCAAUGCCGCGUGCAGGAAGAAGGCCUUCGGGUUGUAAAACUCUUUCGGCAGGAACGAAACGGUGACUACUAAUACUAGUCACUAAUGACGGUACCUGAAGAAGAAGCACCGGCUAACUACGU